GACGAACGCUGGCGGCGUGCCUAAUACAUGCAAGUGGGACGCAAGAGAACACACUGUGCUUGCACACCGUGUUUUCUUGAGUCGCGAACGGGUGAGUAACGCGUAGGUAACCUUCCUAUUAGCGGGGGAUAACUAUUGGAAACGAUAGCUAAUACCGCAUAAUAUUAAUUAUUGCAUGAUAAUUGAUUGAAAGAUGCAAGCGCAUCACUAGUAGAUGGACCUGCGUUGUAUUAGCUAGUUGGUAAGGUAAGAGCUUACCAAGGCGACGAUACAUAGCCGACCUGAGAGGGUGAUCGGCCACACUGGGACUGAGGCACGGCCCAGACUCCUACGGGAGGCAGCAGUAGGGAAUCUUCGGCAAUGGACGAAAGUCUGACCGAGCAACGCCGCGUGAGUGAAGAAGGUUUUCGGAUCGUAAAGCUCUGUUGUAAGUCAAGAACGUGUGUGAGAUGUGGAAAGUUCACAG
rnacentral:rRNA from 1 species